UCUGGAGUUUGGCAGAGGGGGGUGGAAUUCCACGUGUAGCAGUGAAAUGCGUAGAGAUGUGGAGGAACACCGAUGGCGAAGGCAGCCCCCUGGGCCAAUACUGACGCUCAUGCACGAAAGCGUGGGGAGCAAACAGGAUUAGAUACCCUGGUAGUCCACGCCCUAAACGAUGUCAACUAGGUGUUGGGAGGGUUAAACCUUUUAGUGCCGUAGCUAAC
rnacentral:rRNA from 1 species